rnacentral:rRNA from 1 species
GACGAACGCUGGCGGCGUGCUUAACACAUGCAAGUCGAACGGAAAGGCCCUGCUUUUGUGGGGUGCUCGAGUGGCGAACGGGUGAGUAACACGUGAGUAACCUGCCCUUGACUUUGGGAUAACUUCAGGAAACUGGGGCUAAAACCGGAUAGGAGCUCCUGCUGCAUGGUGGGGGUUGGAAAGUUUCGGCGGUUGGGGAUGGACUCGCGGCUUAUCAGCUUGUUGGUGGGGUAGUGGCUUACCAAGGCUUUGACGGGUAGCCGGCCUGAGAGGGUGACCGGCCACAUUGGGACUGGGAUACGGCCCAGACUCCUACGGGAGGCGGCAGUGGGGAAUAUUGCACAAUGGGCGGAAGCCUGAUGCAGCAACGCCGCGUGCGGGAUGACGGCCUUCGGGUUGUAAACCGCUUUCGCUUGUGACGAAGCGUGAGUGACGGUAAUGGGUAAAGAAGCACCGGCUAACUACGUG